CUUCCUUUUUUUUCUUGUCUUACAGGACUUGUCAGUUGUACAUCGUCAGUUCAUCGAAGCGCAGUUCGUUUCGCAGACAAACGAUUUUUACCAUCGGCCGCAACGAUGGCAAGGUUUUUGCUGGAUCACGUCUUUUUCUUCUUCUCUCUCAUCAACAUUGUCCUUCAGCUGCACAACGUUAAAGGUUGCAACGUGACGCUAUGGCCCAGAGUACGUUUCCAGCAUCGUUUCGGUGCCGGACCUUGUUUCUUCCGGCUACCCAAUCGUCCUGGUAGUCCCCAAAUGGAUCAACGGCAUUGGUGGAUCGAAAUCGCUUUUAGUUCCUUCCAGAUGGGCCGUUCCGUCUUGAAUCAAACGUGUCCAACAGGCCACCUAAAAUUUGUCGAGCAAACUGGAAUUGCUACAAGUUCAUCCGGAACAUUUUGCGGACGUUUAAGUGGCGAUUCACAAACUUAUUUGACCAGUGCCAAAGCUCUGACGCUUUACUCCAAUCCAAUGUCGGAAGCGGAUCAUUUCAACGCGUACUUUGAUGUGCUGUCGACGGAAGCUCUGCGGAAGCGUUAUCCGGAUAUAUUGAGAGCCAACGGUCUGGCAUCGGACGAUGAAACUCAUGGCAGACAAUGCGACACGUUGAUCCGCAAUUGCCCCAACAUUUGUCGGCUGUCGUCUCCGCUGCAUCCGGUCAGCGCUUAUCCGCGGAAUGUUACGUGUCACUACCGCGUGCUCUUCGAUCGCGACGAUUGGCAAGUCGUUCUCGGCGGACAGCCGGGCGAUCGCUACGACCUGGGCUUACAUCACCCUCACCAACAUUGUCACAACAACGCUGAUCGAUUAGUCAUCUACGAGAAACUGAUUGGCCAUCAGCAGUACCAACAAGUGGCCAAAUUCUGCGGACGCGGUACAUUCCCUAAGAUUAUCGCCCAAAGCGGUCAAGUCAUGGUGGAAUUGAUUAGCUCGCCGACAGGAUUUUUUCAUCAAGGCUUCCGGCUAAGCGUCACACACCAGCGGAGGAGAAAAUCGGAUCAUCAGAGUAUCGUUUCACCUUGUUAUCAUUCUAUAGCAGCCAGUGGACAGUUUUAUCAACAGGGAACCAUCACCUCCCCCCGGCAUUGGUUUCCUCGUAACGUCGAUUGCACCUGGUCGCUAACAUCCAGCCGGAUCUGGUUGGAAAUCCAAUCGAAAAGCAAUAAGUUGUCUAGUAGUAGCUGGGCAACGUCAAGCACCAAUCACAACAAUGCUACGUGUUUCCAUCGCUUGCUAGUGCACCGAACGUCUUCAGAUCCAGCCGAGCGGAUGACUAUUUGCGAGCACAACUCAACAUCCAGCAGCACUUCGACACGGACGUUACUCGUCCGCGAUCAGGUUCAACUGAGGUUCUUCAGCCAACGGGGAUCGAUGACUGGAUCCGACACGGACUUUAGCCUCUUUUACAUGCUCCUUCCGGAAGAGGUUCCCGUCGUGGCGGACACGCUGUGCGACAGGGUCUUGGAAGAGCCCAACGGCACAAUCGAUUUGAUUGGAGAUCGGCUUCUCUUGAUGCGACGCAAACAAUUGAAAUGUCGUUACAGAUUCCAAGCGCCUUACGGGGACGAUUACCGCAUCCGCAUCGUUAUCCGGCAGAUGGUUUUCGACCCAAUCCGACAAUGCGACCCGGGCCGUCGCGACGAGUGUUCCAUCGAUUCAAAUCGACAGGAUUUCGAUUGGCUUCUCGUGUCGGACCGUGAUCUGCUCCAUUGUUUCUGCCAAUCCGCUGGUAAAAAUCAGGAGCCCACCAUGAUAGACAGUGCGUCAAAUCGGCUCGAUAUCCAGCUCGAUCUCAAGCAUAUCUACGACCAGUCGUACAAGGACCCGAACAUUUAUCGCUUCCAGAUCGAUUACAGUUGGAUAGAGGACAGUGGAUGUGGUAAUCCGAUCGAAGACGAUCAGGGCGGAAUGAUCCGCUGGAGAGCCGACCCUAAGGGCAGCAAUCAGUCGUGCACCUGGCUGAUCCAGCUGCCUGAAAACGAUCGCAUCUUGUUGAAAAUCAAUAUGGCCUUUGCGGGGAAUUCGUCAGAGCAUUGCCACCGGAAUCAUCACGUGUCUCUCGGUUAUCACGGACGUCAAAACGACAGCCAAAAGCGCCCGCAACGCCUCCGUCAGGUGGUGACGAUGGAUAACUACGGAAAAGACGAGUGCUUUAUGAACGCUGAAUUCAUUAGUCCGUUCGGUUUGCGCUACCUGCACGUCCAACUGGAAACUAAAUCAGCCAAUCAUCCACGGGCUCGUUUCCUGCUCAAGUGGAACGUCCUAUUCAACAGUGUCUCGAGUUUAUCCAGUGAAGAAUCUCCUACUGGAGUAACUAGUGCGGAUAAUGAAGUAGCAGCUGGUGGCGGUAUGAUGUUAUUAUCAUUAUUUCCGUGUCCGGACAGUAACUGGUCGAUUCCAGAGAGUCUUGUCUGCGACGGGCGGAUCAACUGCCCGCAGCAGAGUCUCUUUGGUUUCCUGCUGGAUGAAGAAUCGUGCACGUUGCGGAACAGUAGCUAUAACCAAGAUUAUUAUUACCCUUGGGUGAUGGUGUUGGUCGUCAGUUUCGGAUUCAGCGUCAUUAUUUCCCUGGCCAGCGUGUCGUCACACGUCAGGAAGUGGAAAGCACCUAUCACAUCAGCUGUUGAAUAAUGCCAUGAUCUGUAAGGGAAAAAAAAAUGUUUCUUUACUUUCUUUUCUUUUCUUUUUUUUUUGAAUUAUUUAUUGGAUCUUAUUGCCACCUUUGAUGGUAGAGAAUUAUUAUGUAAGAUGCUCUCUAAUGGUUGUUUGAAUUUUACAUGACGUCACUCUCUAGUUGUCUCUCUAUCGGCCUGGCAACGUCUUCUGUAUUCGGCUGCAUUUGUUCUCUGUGCUGGAAGCCUAGUAAGAUAUUUCUGUAUGUGUGAGCAUGUCCUGACAAAGUGUUUUUUGGAGGAAAAGAAAAAAUAUUAUCCAUUAUACCAUACAUACAUACUGUAUUAUAAACAAAAUGGAAUUGUGGAACGAAGACUUAUUUGACAGCUAGAAAAGGACCUAUUUUCGCUGGGAGGAUAGUUUGCCAUAAUCAACCUGUGUCACAUGACGUCGUUGAGAUUCGUAGGAAACUCUGAAUACAUCGGAAUUGCUGCUUUUCUAGUACGAAAUUGACUGGAUUACGUAAUGACAUGAGACGGCCCCCCUUCCCCAUUAUUCCUGAUUGUCAACAGGGUCGUUUGAAACCCAUUUCACUAAAGUUCACUAACGAGGCAAACAUUCAACAGUACCGAUUAAAUCAUUUUCUCUGUAUCCUGCAACCCUUAAUUAGUUGUGCAUAAGCAUGGUGUUUAACUUUAAUAACAGGCUGUACCCAAUCACACAUGGGCUGUUUUGCAAAGCGUUUCUUUUGUUAGAUUUUAAUUGCAAGAGUUUAAGGUACGUGGAAAUAGGCUACAAGCUUUUCUUCGUUACGGGGAAAAACUCCGCUCAGUAAAUUAGAAAUAAAACUUUAAAAUAUGAUCUUAAAAUAAAGCAGUUUGUGUAGCUAUCCUUGUCCUGUUUUUUUUCAACGAGUCUGUUAAACUUCCCUUUC